CCCUGUGUGGCUCAGUUGGUAGGGCAUGGUGUUUGCAACGCCAGGGUUGUGGGUUCGAUUCCUACGGGGG
rnacentral:tRNA from 1 species